GAGAUGUUGGGUUAAGCCCGCAACGAGCGCAACCCUCGCCUUAGUUGCCAGCAUUUAGUUGGGCACUCUAAGGGGACUGCCGGUGAUAAGCCGAGAGGAAGGUGGGGAUGACGUCAAGUCCUCAUGGCCCUUACGGGCUGGGCUACACACGUGCUACAAUGGUGGUGACAGUGGGCAGCGAGCACGCGAGUGUGAGCUAAUCUCCAAAAGCCAUCUCAGUUCGGAUUGCACUCUGCAACUCGAGUGCAUGAAGUUGGAAUCGCUAGUAAUCGCGGAUCAGCAUGCCGCGGUGAAUACGUUCCCGGGCCUU
rnacentral:rRNA from 1 species